GAUGAAUGCUGGCGGUGUGCCUUAGGCAUGCAAGUCGAAUGCCGAUGCUUGCAUCGGCAUGGCAGACGGGUGAGUAACACGUGAGAAUCUACCCUAAAGUGGGGAAUAGUCCGCCGAAAGGCGGGGUAAUACCGCAUGUGAUCGCAAGAUCAAAGCCGCAAGGCGCUUUAGGAGGAGCUCGCGCGCUAUCAGCUUGUUGGUGGGGUAAUGGCCUACCAAGGCUACGACGGCUAGCCGGUGUGAGAGCACGACCGGCCACAAGGUUACUGAAACACGGAACCUACACCUACGGGUGGCAGCAACCGGGAAUAUUGCGCAAUGGGCGAAAGCCUGACGCAGCGACACCGCGUGUGGGAUGAAGCUCUUCGGAGUGUAAACCACUGUGGCGAGGGAUGACAUCGACAGUACCUCGCUAGAAAGCACCAGCUAACUACGUGCCAGAAGCUUCGGCAAUACGUAGGGUGCAGGCAUUAUCCGGAUUUAUUGGGCGUAAAGCGUCCGUCGGCGUCUUGACAAGUUUUUUGUUUAAGCCUGAAGCUUAACUUCAGAUAUGCAAAAAAAACUGUCAAGAUUGAGUCUGUUCGAGGGGAUUGGAAUUCUUGG
rnacentral:rRNA from 1 species